UACAGAGGGGGCAAGCGUUGUUCGGAAUUAUUGGGCGUAAAGGGCGCGUAGGCGGCCUGGCAAGUGGAAGGUGAAAUCCCUCGGCUUAACCGAGGAACUGCCCUCCAAACUGCUUGGCUUGAGUCCGGGAGAGGUGAGUGGAAUUCCCAGUGUAGCGGUGAAAUGCGUAGAUAUUGGGAGGAACACCAGUGGCGAAGGCGGCUCACUGGACCGGAACUGACGCUGAUGCGCGAAAGCGUGGGGAGCAAACGGG
rnacentral:rRNA from 1 species